GAUGAACGCUAGCUACAGGCUUAACACAUGCAAGUCGAGGGACCGGCGCACGGGUGAGUAACACGUAUCCAACCUGCCCUUUACUCGGGGAUAGCCUUUCGAAAGAAAGAUUAAUACCCGAUAUAAAGGAUGGGGAUGCGUUCCAUUAGGUUGUUGGUGAGGUAACGGCUCACCAAGCCUUCGAUGGAUAGGGGUUCUGAGAGGAAGGGCCCCCACAGUUGGACCUGGGCCCGGGUCAAAACUCUACCGGAAGUAGGAGUUAGGGAUAUUGGGCAAAGGGCGGUAGCCUGAAACAGGCAAGGAGGGGGAAGGAAGGAGGGUCAUGGGGUGUUAACUUCUUUUUAAAAAAAAUAUGUUAUAUAUGAAUAAGGAUCGGCUAACUCCGUGCCAGCAGCCGCGGUAAUUC
rnacentral:rRNA from 1 species